CGUCGAACGAGCUAGCGUACAUCCGUAUAUAUUGUAUGUACGUACUACUAUGUAUGCAUGUAUGUACGUACGUACGUACACUGGCGCUCGCGCAAAUCCUUGUGUACGUGAGAGUAUAGGAACGAUGGUGAGAGCAAGGCAGUUUGGUGGGAGGGGUAAGGGGAAGGGGAGGGGGAGGCGGUAGAGGAAGAACGAACCGAUCGAUCGACGACGACGCGAUAGUAGUUCGCUACGAGCAGGAAAGGGACGGCCGUGGAACGAGGUAAUCCGUUUAGGUAUCUUUAUACCCAGGCAUUCACGACUCCACACGUUCGAUCGUUGUUUUGAAACAGGGGUGGGGGCGUGGCGAGUAUGGGCGUAGCCCAAAACUGGCAAAAUGGCGGCAAGCCCCGUCCACCGGACACGCCCAUCGUGUAAAGCGCAAUUGCGGCUCCGCCGCCAGGCUACGCGCGCAUCGGCUGCGCUUGCCUUUCUUCGCCGCCUCCCCGUGUUGUCUUACGUUCGCUAACCUCGAAUCUCUCUUACGAACGAUCGACGAAGUCCGAUAUAAUACGUACUAUAUAUCGUAUCAACAAACGCAAGUUAUAUUUUCUUCGGAUAUUUUUCUUACCGAGAAACGGACGGAACGUAAUUAUAGAAGUACUCGCUUAUUUUCUUGCAUUGUUAUUAUGGGAAAGCGGAAAUCCACUUUUGUAGGUUAUGCGGAAGUUCGAACGCCGCGUCAGGUCUAAGGACGCCAUGUUGUUCUCAUUGCCGAGAAUUCUCGAGAAGAGCCGAAGUUGGUCGAUUACGUCGACGCCUACGAAUACAAUAUGGGGUCUUUUGCGAUAUGUUACAUGGGCAUACACACACACACAUACACAUACGUAGUACACACGUAGUAUCAACUACACACAUUCUUACAUAUACGUACGCACGCACAUGUACACGUAUUUCAAAGUAAACAAAGAUAGAUGUUACGGAAAGAUAUUAUACUCCAACAUAGGAUCGUCAAAGAAUUUAUUGAUCGAGACAUCCUCGGAUAAACCUUUACGUCUACGCGUUUUCAACAUAAAUUCUCUGGCUAAAUGCGUGGCCGGUUGUGGUUCCAAUGGUCUAAUGGUAAUGGUUUUGUCAAGAGGAUCUCCAGAUCCGUCUCGAAACCAAAACUAUCGAUAGCCGGUAUAAAAGCUUUGAUCGUGUAUAAAGGACUUCCUGGAACAGGUGCAUCUUGAGUAACGUGACCUCGACGUUUCGCUAAAACGGUAUAAACAGCGGACACGCAAUCAGCCGGUGCUUGAACUUCAACGAAGAAAUAUGGCUCCAUUAAUCUCGGCGUGGCCAUUAAAAAUGCCGAAUAAGCGACUCUCCUCGCGGUAGGAAUGAUUUGACCACCUGAAUAUAAAGAUAACAAACAAAUAGA